rnacentral:tRNA from 12 species
GGCAAGGUAGCUCAGUUGGUUAGAGCACAGCACUCAUAAUGCUGGGGUCGGCAGUUCGAAUCUGCCCCUUGCUACCA